ACCCUGGGCCGCCGCAGCAGAGCGUUGGAACUUAACCACUCGGCCACGGGGCUAGCGCCUCUGUUCCAGCCUGCGCGUCUGACCCAUCGACAUGGACUUACCAGGCAGCCGCCAUCGGCCCAACUCACGUUGGUAGGAGCGAGGGUCAGGGGACAGUAACGAGUAAAGUAGAGUAGCGUGCAGACCAGAUGCCUGCUUCUCGUAUUACCUGGCCGUGAGCAGACCAGGGUCUCUGCCUGCACCAGCCCCAGCACUCCGGGGGGGAACUGCAUCUGCGGCAUCGUCAGGCCUCCGACUGAGGACGCACAGCCCGCCCCGGCCCUAAGCCGUCCUUCCUGGUGAUGCUCCGCAGGUGCAGAAAGAUACUUCUCUGAAAAUGCGUGUUUGUUGCAAACUCUGGACACACCCAGGACCUUUCCGAGUCAGCAGUGCAGUUGGAUGUCAAGUUUUCGUGCUUUGAAAAUGUUUUCAAAUUACUUGGUAAUCCCUGAGAACACUAUCAUAGUUUUAAUAUCGAUCCUUCUCACACAGUACUUAAGUUACUAAUCGUGAGCCGCCUUGUGCCUGCACGGGGCUUCCUCAGGCGUUGUAUAAGCUGCGAUGAAAUACCUCGUGAUAUUAUGAAUUCUGAGAUGUUUGGAAUCAAAUCACAGCCUCAGUCCCCACGCUCUUUUUAUUUGCCUUAAGUGUUCGCUUAUUUGUUUACCCAUUUGUUUUUGUCUUCCGUUUGUAUCUUGUUGCCCUUUGUUUUAAGAUAACUUCAUCCGUGUCUAAAGUUCUCCCAGAAAAAAGCAUGUUUUGAAAAAGUGCUGUGUGUAUUAUAUUCACAUAUUUGGUUGAAUUUUAAAUUGCAAGUCAUUGAGGGCAGAGAAAGGAAGUGUGUUUUAAAACUAAAAUGUGGCCUCACCACGUGGAGUCGUUUAAGGUGAUUAAUUGCCGGGACUCUGAAGAACCGAGCAAAUUCCCAUUCAUGGUCAUUUCUCAUAUUCCCUAAAGCUCUAAGUUCUGGGGCAAAACUGAAGAUACACCCUGCUCUUGUGGCUCAGCCACUUUUCCUCUUCUCAGAAUCCGCUUCUCUGAAAUGGUGUGAUUCAGAGUCCAGGGGCUAAGAGACAGUUUAGCAGAUCUGAAGGAGUGGAGCCGGACAGCCGGAUCAGGGCGGCUUCCUCUUCUUGGGAGGGGCCUGAAGCCCCUCUGAAGGCUGCUUAUCCCAGUUCCAGCUGGAAACUGAAUAGGGUGUUCAGAGCUGUUGGAAGGAAGAGAAAGGAAAAGAAGAAAGCAGUGGCAUUCAGAAUCAAGGGCAGACUUUCCAAAGCUCCUCUCCUUUAGCUGAAGGAAAUUUAUAUUAGAGGUAGCCUUGUCUGUUUCCCGUGGGAGGGUUUAGUCAUUCAGGGAAAAAUAUGUGGGUUUAUGGUUUAGAUGCUAGACUCAGAGGAUUGGUGGGACCUGCACAGCCAUGUGAACUGGAUUAUCAGACACCUUGCAAGUUGUUUUAAAAAGUUCUCUGCAUGCACUCCUUUAUUUUAUAUUGUGGGCUUCUUUUUCUUUGUUCGUGAAGGUCUUCGUUGGUCUGAAGCUGCCUGAGUACAGCAGCGUUUCACCCGCUCUGGGCGGGGCUUUCUUCUUGUUUCUGAGACUCUAAUUCAGCAGCGGUUGGGUUAGGUGACUGGACUUGAAACUUCUUCCUAACGGUAGGUCAGCAGGUGUUCUGGGGACGUGUUUGGUCUGCCAUUAUAGUAGGAUAGAGUCACAAAAACUCAGUAGGAAUCACAUGCACUUACUUGUUAAAGUAGGCUUUUGUUGUGCCACGGAUUCUGUGUUCUCUAUUUGUAGAAAACCUCUUGAUAUAAUCUUGGCAGCAGUUUGGGAUUCAGAAUUAAUCUAUGAAAAAUGUUCAAAGUAAGAAGGAAGUAGUCUCUAAAAUGAGUGUUUAAAAAUACACAAUCAGCCAUCCUUCACUGCCAUCCUAACCGAAGCUUCGCAGUGAGUUAUGUUUAAUUAUGUAGGUGAGGAUUUUUCUCCAUUAGCCUAACAAAUAGAUGGCAAAAAUAGGCAUCGCUUUGAAAAAGCAGAAUCUGAAGGCUGCCUUGCUGCCUGUCCUGCUCAUCCGUGAUGAGCAGCUGCCGUGAGCUGCUGGGCUCUGCUUACUGAAGUCUGCUAGAGACGUCAUUGAGUCAGUGGAUUGAUUAACGACAGAUUCCCUUAAAGGACAAUCAUGUGGCUUUUAAUCUUUUCUUAGUUCUUAGGCCCCUUUGAACACCUAGUGAAAGCUAUUGCUAACUCUUUAGACAAGUGCUUAUAUCCAUUUGCACACAAAAUUUUACGUAAUCCCUGAGCUUUCUAGAAUCUCUGACGACAUCAUGAACCCCACCCGUGCUCUGCCAAUAAAAACAGCUACAUUAAGGUGUAGUUUAAACAACAUAGGGAAAUAAAAAUUUGUGUAUGUAUGAGUAGUGUCGCCAUGUGUGAGUGUGUGUGUAUAUAUACCUAUUUUUUUUUCCAAGUUCUCCAUUUUCUCUGUGGUUAAAACAAGAGAGAACCAGAAGAGCUUCUAAUAUUCUUGAUAAUUUCCAUUCUUAGCUCAGCUGAAAAUCAUAAAGCAUCUUAAGGAAAAAUAAGGAAGGAGUUUCAUUGCCUCUCAUGGUCUGCCAGCAUCUUGCAGUGAAUAGUCUUUUGUGAUGAAAAUUCAUUGCAGGAUACGUGGGAGAACACUGAAGCUGUCACAAUGCACAAGAAGUUUGGAAUUGAAAAGUAGGCGCAAAAUGUGGUUGUUCGUGAGCUGACCAUAAAGUCCUUGAAGGUGUAAUUAGAUACUGAUAACAUUAUAAAAGUAAAAAUUAUCACAUUUUGGGAAAUUUGGGAAUUUCUCCUAAGCCUGAAACCUGGGGUCAGUUUACAGUUCCUGCCUUCCUCCCUGUCUGCAUCCAGCCCAUCACCAGGCACUGUCUGUCUCACCUCCUGAGUAGCUGUGCCAUCUGGCCUGCCCUCCAUCCCCAGCUCUUGCUCUGCAUUCGUGGAGGUCCUUGUUAUCACCUUUCUACGCUGGUGCACAUUCUGGAAUGUAAUGUAAAUUUGCAGAUACACCCAGACCAGGAGUGGAGUUCCAAUUCCAGAUUUCCUACUGACUAGCUGUGCAAAUGGAGCAAUUUGUGAACCUCUCUGAGCCUGUUUCCUCAUAUCUGAAGUGGGGAUUGUAAUAAUUCCACCACAGUAAGUGUAGAGGAGGAAGACAAUUCCUCUACCCUCUAGGUCCUUCUGGCUGGCCUGGGAACUAAAUUGACAUGAGACAGAAUAACAGGAGGAAAUCAGGCAGAGCUUUAUAUCAUGUAUACAUGGGAGAGACCUAGGAAAUAUGAGUAACUCAACAAAAUGGCAGAGGCUGUCACCUUAAAUACCAUCUUCAGCCAAAGACAAAGGAAGACGUUGGGAGUGGAGGAAGUCAGUUACAGGAGAUUACCAGAAAAGCACAGUAAACAAGAGUAAGGUUAGUAUGCAGAUUUAAGUGCUUAUCUUCAGUAUUGACAAGAGUGUCUAGAGAUAACAUCAUCCCUCUUCCUGGUACAGAGAGGGAGCUAUCUUUACAGAUGGAGAUUUCCUUUAGAAAUAUAAAGGUCUCUUACAAAGGGUAACUUCUAUUUGGUUUUCAGAGUCUUUCUCAUGUCUGCAGGUUUUAAAAAAAUAGCCAGCCAAAAAUAAUUCUCAUGCCAGGGGCUGGCCUAGCAGCAUAGUGGUUA